rnacentral:rRNA from 1 species
UCGGAGGGAUCAUUAC